rnacentral:rRNA from 1 species
UUGCCAGCCCGCUCAGAAACUUAAAGGAAUUGACGGGGCCCGCACAAGCGGUGGAGCAUGUGGUUAAUUCGAUGAUACGCGAGGAACCUUACCUGGGCUCAAAUGUAUGUUUGACGUAUUCUGAAAGGGAUACUUCUUCGGACAAUAUACAAGGUGCUGCAUGGUUGUCGUCAGCUCGUGCCGUGAGGUGUCGGGUUAAGUCCCAUAACGAGCGCAACCCUAUCAUUAGUUGCCAUCAGGUCAAGCUGGGGACUCUAAUGAAACUGCCUACGCAAGUAGUGAGGAAGGUGGGGAUGACGUCAAAUCAGCACGGCCCUUACGUCCAGGGCUACACACGUGCUACAAUGGCCGGUACAAAGGGCAGCUACCUGGUGACAGGAUGCUAAUCUCAAAAGCCGGUCUCAGUUCGGAUCGGAGUCUGCAACCCGACUCCGUGAAGCUGGAAUCGCUAGUAAUCGCGCAUCAGCCAUGGCGCGGUGAAUACGUUCCCGGGCCUU